UACGGAGGGUGCAAGCGUUGUUCGGAAUUACUGGGCGUAAAGGGCGCGUAGGUGGUUAUGCAAGUCAGAUGUGAAAUCCUUCGGCUCAACUGAAGAACUGCAUCUGAAACUGCAUAAUUAGAGUACAGGAGAGGGAAACGGAAUUCCCGGUGUAGAUGUGAAAUUCGUAGAUAUCAGGAGGAACACCUGUGGCGAAGGUGGUUUCCUGGCCUGAUAAUGACAAUGAGGCGCGUAAGCGUGGGGAGCAAACAGG
rnacentral:rRNA from 1 species